rnacentral:lncRNA from 1 species
CAGAAUAAGUCAACCAAACAUUCACCAGUUCUGGUUCUCCAGUCCACAAGAUAGCAGAGCAGUUACUAACUAUUUACAAGAAUUUAAGUAUUUUACAACAAAAUCCUACAUUUCAUGGGUGGCGCGGGAGCUAGGAGUGGCCCGUGGUGGAUUCCUGUGCACUUCUACUGCCUGGAGGCGAAAAAUAAUUUGAAAGUGUGAGUGGACAAAAAUAACGUUCUCAAAACAAUUUAUAAACAUAGUAACCCCCGUUGUAAAAAUGAAUAGGUAUGUAAAUCUGAAGUUCGACUGUAUUCAAAUACAGGGCAUUCAAAAAAAACAUGUAUAUGUAUAUGUAUACGUAUCUAUACAGAUGUGAAACAUGCACGAAUAUCAAGAAAACUAGUAUAAAAUGACUGAAAGCAAUAAUUACAUAAAAGCACUAAAAUUCUUUUAAAACUACCACCUAAAUGUACCCCUGUAAAUCCGUCAAUUCCCCUGGAAGGUCUCGGCGACACACAAUCUGUCCGAGCCGCAAACUGGCAGGAUUCAGGGGACUAUGGUCAGCCUGAUCCGCUGGCAGGUCUCGAUGACACCAAGUCGACUCGAGCCGCUCUGGCAAGAUACAGGGGACUGUAGUCAGCCUGAUCCGCAAUCCUGGUAGGUCUCGAGGACACAGAGUCAGCCGAGCCGCAAAUCCUGGCAGGUCUCGGGACACCAAGUCUGCCGAGCCGCAAAUCCUGGCACUCACGGUCCGAGCGUCCCCGAAACUCGUGAGGCAAUGUCAAGUGCACUGACAGAACUGUAAACAGACUGGAUGUCCGUAGACAUCGGUCCAUCUGAGGGUAAUCAUCAAAUAAAAAUGGGUACGUGGUGGUUUUAAAAAUAAAUAACUUUAGGAAAAUGUGAUUAAUAACUGUAAUCUAACAUUAUGCUGCUAUCUCAUUUGAUUUAGACCUCAAACUCUGUUUCUAUAACUUUUAGCAUGUGACUGAGCAGCAUGAAAUUAUAGAAAUAUCACGGUACUAAUCAAGCUCGGAAACUUUCAAUAAAACUUAUUCAAAAUCAAAUAAUAAAAUUCAUGCAUAUAAACUUAUUUAUAAAAUCGUUUGUAUAAACUUAUUUAUAGAAAAUCAUUUAUGAAAGAAAGGUCCACUCACUGCUGGUCCGAGCUAGCUGGACCCUUUGAAGGUCCCUCCUGAGGUUUUGCCGGUCCUCUGGUGCCUGAUUACCCAUAAAGAUUAAAUUAAUAAAACUGCUCAAUAAAAGAAUUAAAUUAAACACCCUGCCCCCGGCUCCUAGAAAUGCGUGUACUCAUUUUAAAGUCACUCCUAUGCCCACUUUAGCCUUUCAGACAAUUAGAACGGCCUUAAAAGACCUGAAGCUGUUCCAAGCGAUAAACUGUCAAACCGGCCGAUCCGGAACCUCGUGGGGUCCACGAUCUCCGAUGGCCAAUCUGGGAUUCUCUAAAGGUUCCUUACAGAGAAAGACCCAUGUCCUGCGAGUUUGGUCCAAAACGGACGGUCGGAUUAGCCAAAAUUGCAUUAUCGCUUAAAAAUCCAAACUCUAGCCCUAGGGUUCACGAUUUCGGAGUAUACGGGACUCCGAUUCGCAAUCCGUCGUAUCCUACACGAUCCUGAAAUCAUGUAAAAUGACAUAUCUGAAUUUGGGUGCGAUCCAACGGCUCGACGACACUGCACCCAAGGAUCGCGAAAUAUGGAAAAUCUGUUCGGGGCUCAAACGGACUCCAAAUCGAGAUCCGCGAAAUCCUACGCGCUCGAGACAACACGAGGAUCGCAAAACUACUCAAAGUCACUUCACUGCCCUCAUCCACGCGCCGCCACACGCGCGGGCAGUUUGGGUGUCCAAAGCGAUACCGGCUCGCUGGAAAAUCUCAAAACCAAGGCUCCAAACUCCUAUCCUCGGUAAAACACCCCAUUUGGAGCCACUUUUGUUCUUGGACAUACCCUAAAAAGUGGCCGGAAACGGCCGAUCGCAGAGGCUGAAGUUCGGCCAAUUUUCAAUUCGAAAAUCGAGUGAUCUACGGCUAAAAUCGAUGAAAAUCUAACCAACCAACAGCUAGAGCAUGAAAAAUAGGUGAGAAUCCAUACCUUACUCGAAAGAUUUGGUUGAGAAUUGAGGGAGAACGAAGGGUCUGAAAAUCGGGCGAAAACCGGUCGGAAAUCUCGAUUUUCCGGCCAGUUCCGGUCGGCCCAAGGGCGGAGAAGGGUCGGGAAAGGACGGCGGGGCCGAGGCGGUUCCGAUGGUACCAACGCUGACGAUCGGGACGGCCUGUGGUGGUGGCUGUGUUGAGCGGAAGGGGAGGGGGCGCGGGUCGCGCGACGGGAGGAGAGAGAGAGGAGAGAGAGAGAGGAAAAGGUAUAAAAAUCUGACUUUGUCCAAAUUACCAUUUUGCCCUUCACUGUAUUUUGGCAGUAUUUUCUUCGUUACAACUCCGAUUCGAGUCCACUCCGUGUCUACGGACUCGUUUCGUCGUGCGCUACGUAACGGCGUAAGCAGAAUUGCCAAAUUCUUUCUCGGUCAAAAAGUCAACUUUUUCCCUAUUUCAUAAUGUGAGGGCAAAAUCGUCUUUCUUCUAGAAUAAAUUAAUACUAAUUUUAGGAUAUUUUGUUUUGGGUUAUUACAAUCUAUCCCCCUUAAAGAAAAUUUCAUCCUUGAAAUUUACAUACCUAUUACUUGAAGAGGUAAGGGUACUGUUCCCGCAUCUGGUCCUCAGAUUCCCAUGUGGCCUCUUCCACAGUAUGGCUCCUCCAUAGGACCUUCACAAGUGGAAUCUCCCUCGAACGCAAAACUUGCAUCUUUCGAUCUAAAAUCUAAACUGGUUGCUCGACAUAAGUCAAAUCUUCUUGUAGCUCUAUCGGUUGUUCCUCCUGCACAUGGGAAGAUCCGAAAUAUACUUCCGAAGCAUCGAGACAUGGAACACGUCGUGCAACCGAGACAAAUCUGGAGGUAAAGCAAGUCUAUAAGCUACUGGACCUACACGCUCCACAAUCUCAUAAGGUCCAAUACAGCGAGGACUUAGUUUUCCUCGCCUUCCAAACCUUACUACGCCCUUCCAAGGCGAUAAUUUCAGGAACACCCAGUCUCCAACCUCAAACUGGAGGUCCUUCCUUCUGUUAUCUGCAUAGCUCUUUUGUCUGUCCUGGGCCGUUUUCAGUCGUUCUCGAAUUAUUUUCACCUGUUCCUUCGUUCGUUCGACGUCAUCUGCCACUUCCAAUCGGUGCUCACCUACUUCAUCCCAAUAAAAUGGAGUUCUGCACUGUUUCCCAUAUAAGGCAUCAAAUGGAGACAUUCUGAUACUUGCCUGGUAGCUGUUAUUAUAAGCAAACUCCAUCAGUGGCAAUUUCUCGUCCCAGUCUUCUCGAAACUGUAAUGCACAAGCUCUCAACAUGUCUUCCAAAGUCUGAAUCGUCCUCUCAGACUGACCGUCUGUCUGAGGAUGAAAAGCAGUGCUGAACUGUAACUGGGUUCCAAAAGCUUCAUGCAACUUUGUCCAAAAUCGGGAGGUAAACCAUGGAUCUCUAUCAGAAGUGAUAGAAACUGGCACCCCAUGAAGUCGUACUAUCUCAUCAAUGAAGAGCUUGGCCAACUUAUUUAACGUGUAGUUUGCUCUUACCGGUAGGAAAUGAGCAGACUUCGUGGGUCGAUCCACAAUCACCCACACUCCAUCGUGCUUAUUCCGUGUUCGGGGAAGCUUGAACACGAAAUCCAUGGUCAGAUGCUCCCACUUCCAUUCAGGAAUUGGAUGUGGUUGUAACAGCCCAGAAGGUUUCUGUCGUUCUGCUUUCACCUGCUGACAAAUCAAGCACUUUCUUACAUACUCUGCUAUCUCCUUCUUCAUGAAAGGCCACCAGUAGUGCUCCCUCAAAGUAUGGUACAUUUUAGUACUCCCAGGGUGCAUGGCAAAAGCAGAGCUGUGGGCCUCUUCGAGGAUUUCCCUCUUUAGAGCUUCAUCGUGAGGAACAUACAAUCUGGUACCCACCAUCAAAGCUCCAUCAUUCCUCACUGAACAAUCUGUCCUAUCACCACUCUCCACUUCUGCUCAUAGGGUGCACAUCAAAGGAUCCUCUGCUUGAGCUGCUAUUAUUCGUUCCACCAACACUGGUCGUACCUGGAUAGUAGCUAACAAUGCUCCCUGCUCAUCCACACCCAGCUCAAUUCUGAGUUUUCUCAGUUCAAUCAUCAAUGGUACAUAUCUCCCUCGGAGACAAGCUACUGAGCCAGAAGAUUUCCUGCUGAGUGCAUCAGCUACCACAUUAGCUCUCCCCGGAUGGUGCUCAAUGGUACAAUCAUAGUCUUUGAUCAGCUCUAGCCAUCUUCUCUGCCUUAAAUUCAGCUCCUUCUGAGUGAAUAAAUACUUCAAACUCUUAUGGUCUGUAAAAAUCUGACAUGUGGCUCCAUACAGGUAGUGCCUCCAAAUCUUCAAAGCAAACACAACCGCUGCCAGCUCCAAAUCAUGAACAGGGUAAUUCAUCUCAUGCUUCUUUAACUGUCUGGAAGCAUAAGCGAUCACCCGACCAUGCUGCAUCAGUACACAUCCCAGUCCCUGUUGGGAGGCAUCACUGUAGAUAACGAAGCUGCCACUAUCAUCUGGAAGCGUCAACACUGGAGCAGUGGUUAACCUGGUUUUGAGCUCGUUAAAGCUUUUCUCACACUCAUCUGACCAUUCAAACUUAACUCCCUUUCUUGUCAAACGAGUGAGAGGCGCCGCUAUAGUAAAAAAACCUUCCACAAAGCGGCGAUAAUAACCGGCUAAUCCAAGAAAACUUCGUACCUCAGUAACACUGGUUGGUUGUGGCCAAUUCACUACUGCCUCAACCUUCUGGGGAUCAACGUAAACGCCUUCUGCAGAGAUGACAUGCCCCAAGAAAUUCACUCUAUCUAGCCAGAAUUGGCACUUACUGAAUUUAGCAAACAAUUUCUUCCUUCUCAGAGUCUUUAGUACCAGUUCCAAAUGCUUCAUGUGUGCCUUCUGACUCUUGGAAUACACCAGAAUAUCAUCUAUGAAUACAAUCACAAAGCGAUCCAAAUAACGUCGGAACACUCUGUUCAUCAAAUCCAUAAACGCAGCUGGUGCAUUCGUCAAUCCGAAUGGCAUCACCAGGAACUCAUAGUGCCCAUACCUCGUUCGGAAAGCUGUCUUAGGCACAUCUUCUUCUUUAAUCCGUACCUGAUGGUACCCCGAUCUCAGAUCAAUCUUGGAGAAUACCUUAGCACCUCUCAGCUGGUCAAAUAAAUCAUCAAUGCGGGGCAACGGAUACUUGUUCCGCACUGUGACUUUAUUCAGCUGCCUGUAGUCAAUACACAGCCUCAUGGUACCAUCCUUCUUCUUCACAAACAGCACUGGGGCACCCCAUGGGGAAAAGCUAGGUCGAAUGAAGCCCUUAUCUACUAACUCCUGCAGUUGCACCUUCAAUUCCUUUAAUUCUGCUGGCGCCAUCCUGUAAGGUGCUUGAGAUAUAGGAUUCGUUCCUGGAAUGAGUUCACUAGUGAACUCGAUCUCCCGGUGAGGAGGUAACCCAGGAAGAUCAUCCGGAAACACAUCUGGAAAAUCCCGAACCACUGGAAUAUCCUCCAACUUCAACUCUUGAUUCCUGGUAUCGAUUACGUGGGCUAGAUAGCCUAAGCACCCUUUUCUGAGCAACCUCUUUGCCGUCAUCGCUGAAAUGAGGCAAGAUGGGAGCACUCUACGCUCACCAUAAAAGGUCACUUCAGGACGUCCAGGGCUACGGAAUACAACUUCCUUCCUGAAACAAUCCACUGAGGCAUGAUGUUUGGCUAGCCAAUCCAUGCCCAAGAUAACAUCCAGGCCCACCAUCUCCAAUGGAAUCAGAUCUGCUUCCAGACACACAUCUCCUACUAACACUGCACUAUCGUGAUACACCGUACCAACAUGAAAAAUCUCUCCUGUAGGUACAGAGAUCGCUAACUCAUCCCGUAGAGCUAACAGUCUAACAUUAGCAUUGUGGGCAAAACUAGGUGUAACAAAAGAGUGCGUAGCCCCCGGGUCAAUCAGGACUCUAGCAGAAGUCCCAAAGACUGAUAGAAUACCUGUAACCACAUCUGGUGACGCCUGUGCCUGCUGCUGAGACAUGUGGUACACUCUGUCUGUGGCUCUGGCACGUCCACCUCGUCCUUGCUGUUGACUGCCACCUCUGCUGGCAACACUAGUCUGGGUCCCACCACUAGACGAGGCUCCUCUAAACUGGGCUCUGCCCUGAGUGCCUACCUCUCUAGGCGAUGCAACAAUCGCUUCACCACCCUGAAGCAGCACCGGGCACUCCCUCAAGAAAUGUCCAGGCUGACCACAAUGAAAAUAUCCUGUGGUACCCUGUCGGCAAGUCCCGGUAUGAUAUCUGCUACAUACAGUACACUGCGGACUCCUUAUCCUACCAGCUGCUGAGGGUGGCUGUCUACCAGAACCUCUGACUGAACUGCCUGCAGACCGGCUUCCAGAACUACCACUCUAGUUGGAGCCUCCACUUGAGCUAACUCCAGGGCGAAAGCCUCCAAACUGCGGCCGCUGGAUGACCCAGAACUGUAACUACCCCUCUUGGCUGACCCCUGACUGGGACCACCCAUAUCAAACUGUCUUCUUCGAGGUUCACCUCGUGCUCUGACCAUCAUCUGACUGCUCUCUAUCAACGAAGCUGACAUCACCAAGUCUCCAAAAUUCGUCAGCCGGUGACUGAUCACAAUAUCUCUGAUGGAGGCCUUCAAUCCUCUAGUGAACAGCUGGCACUUCUUACUUUCAUCUUCUACUAAUGGAAUACAGUAUUUGGAUAGUUCAUUGAACUUUUUCUCAUACUCCAACACUGUCAUCGACCCCUGUUCCAACUGCAGAAAUUCUUCCAUUUUCAGGUUCUGAUACGCCUGUGGGUAAUACUGGCUGUCAAAAGCCGCUCGGAAGACUAUCUCCUUUUAACAGAUUCCCACCAGUGUCUAGCAUUUCCGAUCAAAAAGAACGUGGCCAAAGUUACCCUGCGAUCCUGUGAAACGACCAUCACCUCCAUGAUCCGUUCCAUCCUCUCUAUCCACCCUUCGGCCACUGCUGGGUCGCCAUCACCAUCAAAAUCUGUGGCCCCAAUUCUCUUUGCUUGAUCGGCAUAUCCUAAGGACGGGUCUCUGGACUGCCCUGUCCUGGAUAGGGCCUGAGUCAACAACUCCAGGGUCUGCUGAAAAUUAGGAUCUCCCAUCAUCGUGGGCAUGGGAGGUGCGGGCCCUGAUGGGUCUUCAACAAAAGACUGCUCAACCGGUUCCUGUACCGGUUCAGGAAUAGGAAAGUCCUCUGGCUCGGGAGGGGGAUUCUGUCCCCUCACUCGGGACGACUGUCUCGUCCCCCUACGGAAACCACCACAUUUCGGGCCCCAUAAUCAACUGUAACAAGAAACAAGUGUUCAGUAACACUAGAAAGCACAAUUGUAGGGUCUACAGGAAGUGAAACCAGGCUCUGAUACCAAAUUGACAGGACCCAAUCCCAAUUCCACUUUGAAAUUCGAACCAAGUCCUGUGCGUAUCCGACACCUGGCGAAUGUCGGGCACAAAUGACCUUUUACCCUUCCUGUUACAAUUACUAUUAAAACUUCCCUUAGACUCCUGCCGAAAAUUCGGCAGAGUCUCCCCUGUAUUUUGUCCAAACCCAAAAAUUUUCACCUGCUAAACAAACAAUAAUCUUUACACCAACUGCCAGAAUAAGUCAACCAAACAUUCACCAGUUCUGGUUCUCCAGUCCAUAAGAUAUCAGAGCAGUUACUAACUAUUUACAAGAAUUUAAGUAUUUUACAACAAAAUCCUACAUUUCGUGGGUGGCGCGGGAGCUAGGAGUGGCCCGUGGUGGAUUCCUGUGCACUUCUACUGCCUGGGGGCGAAAAACAAUUUGAAAGUGUGAGUGGACAAAAAUAACGUUCUCAAAACAAUUUAUAAACAUAGUAACCCCCGUUGUAAAAAUGAAUAGGUAUGUAAAUCUGAAGUUCGACUGUAUUCAAAUACAAGGCAUUCAAAAAAAACAUGUAUAUGUAUACGUAUCUAUACAGAUGUGAAACAUGCACGAAUAUCGAGAAAACUAGUAUAAAAUGACUGAAAGCAAUAAUUACAUAAAAGCACUGAAAUUCUUUUAAAACUACCACCUAAAUGUACCCCUGUAAAUCCGUCAAUUCCCCUGGCAGGUCUCGGCGACACACAGUCUGUCCGAGCCGCAAACUGGCAGGAUUCAAGGGACUAUGGUCAGCCUGAUCCGCUGGCAGGUCUCGAUGACACCAAGUCGACUCGAGCCGCUCUGGCAAGAUACAGGGGACCGUAGUCAGCCUGAUCCGCAAUCCUGGCAGGUCUCGGGGACACAGAGUCAGCCGAGCCGCAAAUCCUGGCAGGUCUCGGGACACCAAGUCUGCCGAGCCGCAAAUCCUGGCACUCACGGUCCGAGCGUCCCCGAAACUCGUGAGGCAAUGUCAAGUGCAUUGACAGAACUGUAAACAGACUGGAUGUCCGUAGACAUCGGUCCAUCUGAGGGUAAUCAUCAAAUAAAAAUGGGUACGUGGUGGUUUUAAAAAUAAAUAACUUUAGGAAAAUGUGAUUAAUAACUGUAAUCUCACAUUAUGCUGCUAUCUCAUUUGAUUUAGACCUCAAACUCUGUUUCUAUAACUUUUAGCAUGUGACAGAGCAGCAUGAAAUUAUAGAAAUAUCACGGUACUAAUCAAGCUCGGAAACUUUCAAUAAAACUUAUUCAAAAUCAAAUAAUAAAAUUCAUGCAUAUAAACUUAUUUAUAAAAUCGUUUGUAUAAACUUAUUUAUAGAAAAUCAUUUAUGAAAGAAAGGUCCACUCACUGCUGGUCUGAGCUAGCUGGACCCUUUGAAGGUCCCUCCUAAGGUUCUGCCGGUCCUCUGGUGCCUGAUUACCCAUAAAGAUUAAAUUAAUAAAACUGCUCAAUAAAAGAAUUAAAUUAAACACCCUGCCCCCGGCUCCUAGAAAUGCGUGUACUCAUUUUAAAGUCACUCCUAUGCCCACUUUAGCCUUUCAGACAAUUAGAACGGCCUUAAAAGACCUGAAGCUGUUCCCAGCGAUAAACUGUUAGACCGGCCGAUCCGGAACCUCGUCGGGUCCACGAUCUCCGAUGGCCAAUCUGGGAUUCUCUAAAGGUUCCUUACAGAGAAAGACCCAUGUCCUGCGAGUUUGGUCCGAAACGGACGGUCGGAUUAGCCAAAAUUGCAUUAUCGCUUAAAAAUCCAAACUCUAGCCCUAGGGUUCGCGAUUUCGGAGUAUCCGGGACUCCGAUUCGCAAUCCGUCGAAUCCUACACGAUCCUGAAAUCAUGUAAAAUGACAUAUCUGAAUUUGGGUGCGAUCCAAGACCUCGACGACACUGCACCCAAGGAUCGCGAAAUAUGGAAAAUCUGUUCGGGGCUCAAAUAGACUCCAAAUCGAGAUCCGCGAAAUCCUACGCGCUCGAGACAACACGAGGAUCGCAAAACUACUCAGAGUCACUUUACUACCCUCACCCACGCGCCGCCACACGCGCGGGCAGUUUGGGUGUCCAAAGCGAUACCGGCUCGCCGGAAAAACUCAAAACCAAGGCUCCAAACUCCUAUCCUCGGUAAAACACCCCAUUUGGAGCCACUUUUGUUCUUAGACACACCCUAAAAAGUGGCCGAAAAGGGCCGAUCGCGGAGGCCGAAGUUCGGCCAAUUUUCAAUUCGAAAAUCGAGUGAUCUACGGCUAAAAUCGAUGAAAAUCUAACCAACCAACAGCUAGAGCAUGAAAAAUAGGUGAGAAUCCAUACCUUACUCGAAAGAUUUGGUUGAGAAUUGAGGGAGAACGAAGGGUCUGAAAAUCGGGUGAAAACCGGUCGGAAAUCUCGAUUUUCCGACCAGUUCCGGUCGGCCCAAGGGCGGAGACGGGUCGGGAAAGGACGGCGGGGUCGAGGCAGUUCCGAUGGUACCAACGCUGACGAUCGGGACGGCCUGUGGUGGUGGCUGUGUUAAGCGGAAGGGGAGGGGGCGCGGGUCGCGCGACGGGAGGAGAGAG